rnacentral:rRNA from 1 species
GACGAACGCUGGCGGCGUGCUUAACACAUGCAAGUCGAGCGGUAAAGGCCCUUUCGGGGGUACACGAGCGGCGAAACGGGUGAGUAACACGUGGGUGACCUGCCCUCAGCUCUGGGAUAAGCCUGGGAAACCGGGUCUAAUACCGGAUAUGACUCCAUGACGCAUGUUGUGGGGUGGAAAGCCUUGUGCGGCUGAGGAUGGGCCCGCGGCCUAUCAGCUUGUUGGUGGGGUNAUGGCCUACCAAGGCGACGACGGGUAGCCGGCCUGAGAGGGCGACCGGCCACACUGGGACUGAGACACGGCCCA